GCUGGGCGUUGUGGUGGGCGCCUGUGGUCCCAGCUACUUGGGAGGCUGAGGCAGGAGACUCGCUUGAGCCCAGGAACUGGAGGUUGCUGUGAGCUGUGAUGCCACAGUACUCUACCCAGGGGGACAGCUUGAGGCUCUAUCUCUAAAAAAAAAAAAAAGAUAAAUAGACUAAAGGUAGUCUUAGAUUUCAACCCCAAAUCUUUUUAUUUUUUAUUUUUUUAGACAGAGCCUCAAGCUGUCACCCUGGGUAGAGAGCCAUGGCAUCACAGCUCACAGCAACCUCAAUCUCCUGGGCUUAAGCGAUUCUCUUGCCUCAG
rnacentral:SRP_RNA from 1 species